UACGGAGGGUGCGAGCGUUGUUCGGAAUCACUGGGCGUAAAGGGCGUGUAGGCGGUCCGCUAAGUCUGAUGUGAAAGCCCGGGGCUCACCCCCGGAAGGGCAUUGGAAACUGGCGGACUCGAGUCCCGGGGAGGAAGGUGGAAUUCCUGGUGUAGCGGUGAAAUGCGUAGAUAUCAGGAGGAAUACCGGUGGCGAAGGCGGCCUUCUGGACGGUGACUGACGCUGAGACGCGAAAGCGUGGGGAGCAAACAGG
rnacentral:rRNA from 1 species